rnacentral:rRNA from 47 species
AUCUGGAAAGAUGAAUCAAAGAAGGUAAUAAUCCUGUAGUCGAAAAUGUUGUCUCUCUUGAGUGGAUCCUGAGUACGACGGAGCACGUGAAAUUCCGUCGGAAUCUGGGAGGACCAUCUCCUAAGGCUAAAUACUCUCUAGUGACCGAUAGUGAACCAGUACCGUGAGGGAAAGGUGAAAAGCACCCCGGAAGGGGAGUGAAAUAGAACCUGAAACCGUGUGCUUACAAGUAGUCAGAGCCCGUUAAUGGGUGAUGGCGUGCCUUUUGUAGAAUGAACCGGCGAGUUACGAUUUGAUGCAAGGUUAAGCAGUAAAUGUGGAGCCGUAGCGAAAGCGAGUCUGAAUAGGGCGUUUAGUAUUUGGUCGUAGACCCGAAACCAGGUGAUCUACCCUUGGUCAGGUUGAAGUUCAGGUAACACUGAAUGGAGGACCGAACCGACUUACGUUGAAAAGUGAGCGGAUGAACUGAGGGUAGCGGAGAAAUUCCAAUCGAACCUGGAGAUAGCUGGUUCUCUCCGAAAUAGCUUUAGGGCUAGCCUCAAGUGAUGAUUAUUGGAGGUAGAGCACUGUUUGGACGAGGGGCCCCUCUCGGGUUACCGAAUUCAGACAAACUCCGAAUGCCAAUUAAUUUAACUUGGGAGUCAGAACAUGGGUGAUAAGGUCCGUGUUCGAAAGGGAAACAGCCCAGACCACCAGCUAAGGUCCCAAAAUAUAUGUUAAGUGGAAAAGGAUGUGGCGUUGCCCAGACAACUAGGAUGUUGGCUUAGAAGCAGCCAUCAUUUAAAGAGUGCGUAAUAGCUCACUAGUCGAGUGACACUGCGCCGAAAAUGUACCGGGGCUAAACAUAUUACCGAAGCUGUGGAUUGUCCUUUGGACAAUGGUAGGAGAGCGUUCUAAGGGCGUUGAAGCAUGAUCGUAAGGACAUGUGGAGCGCUUAGAAGUGAGAAUGCCGGUGUGAGUAGCGAAAGACGGGUGAGAAUCCCGUCCACCGAUUGACUAAGGUUUCCAGAGGAAGGCUCGUCCGCUCUGGGUUAGUCGGGUCCUAAGCUGAGGCCGACAGGCGUAGGCGAUGGAUAACAGGUUGAUAUUCCUGUACCACCUAUAAUCGUUUUAAUCGAUGGGGGGACGCAGUAGGAUAGGCGAAGCGUGCGAUUGGAUUGCACGUCUAAGCAGUAAGGCUGAGUAUUAGGCAAAUCCGGUACUCGUUAAGGCUGAGCUGUGAUGGGGAGAAGACAUUGUGUCUUCGAGUCGUUGAUUUCACACUGCCGAGAAAAGCCUCUAGAUAGAAAAUAGGUGCCCGUACCGCAAACCGACACAGGUAGUCAAGAUGAGAAUUCUAAGGUGAGCGAGCGAACUCUCGUUAAGGAACUCGGCAAAAUGACCCCGUAACUUCGGGAGAAGGGGUGCUCUUUAGGGUUAACGCCCAGAAGAGCCGCAGUGAAUAGGCCCAAGCGACUGUUUAUCAAAAACACAGGUCUCUGCUAAACCGUAAGGUGAUGUAUAGGGGCUGACGCCUGCCCGGUGCUGGAAGGUUAAGAGGAGUGGUUAGCUUCUGCGAAGCUACGAAUCGAAGCCCCAGUAAACGGCGGCCGUAACUAUAACGGUCCUAAGGUAGCGAAAUUCCUUGUCGGGUAAGUUCCGACCCGCACGAAAGGCGUAACGAUUUGGGCACUGUCUCAACGAGAGACUCGGUGAAAUCAUAGUACCUGUGAAGAUGCAGGUUACCCGCGACAGGACGGAAAGACCCCGUGGAGCUUUACUGUAGCCUGAUAUUGAAAUUCGGCACAGCUUGUACAGGAUAGGUAGGAGCCUUUGAAACGUGAGCGCUAGCUUACGUGGAGGCGCUGGUGGGAUACUACCCUAGCUGUGUUGGCUUUCUAACCCGCACCACUUAUCGUGGUGGGAGACAGUGUCAGGCGGGCAGUUUGACUGGGGCGGUCGCCUCCUAAAAGGUAACGGAGGCGCUCAAAGGUUCCCUCAGAAUGGUUGGAAAUCAUUCAUAGAGUGUAAAGGCAUAAGGGAGCUUGACUGCGAGACCUACAAGUCGAGCAGGGUCGAAAGACGGACUUAGUGAUCCGGUGGUUCCGCAUGGAAGGGCCAUCGCUCAACGGAUAAAAGCUACCCCGGGGAUAACAGGCUUAUCUCCCCCAAGAGUUCACAUCGACGGGGAGGUUUGGCACCUCGAUGUCGGCUCAUCGCAUCCUGGGGCUGUAGUCGGUCCCAAGGGUUGGGCUGUUCGCCCAUUAAAGCGGUACGCGAGCUGGGUUCAGAACGUCGUGAGACAGUUCGGUCCCUAUCCGUCGUGGGCGUAGGAAAUUUGAGAGGAGCUGUCCUUAGUACGAGAGGACCGGGAUGGACAUACCUCUGGUGUACCAGUUGUCGUGCCAACGGCAUAGCUGGGUAGCUAUGUGUGGACGGGAUAAGUGCUGAAAGCAUCUAAGCAUGAAGCCCCCCUCAAGAUGAGAUUUCCCAACUUCGGUUAUAAGAUCCCUCAAAGAUGAUGAGGUUAAUAGGUUCGAGGUGGAAGCAUGGUGACAUGUGGAGCUGACGAAUACUAAUCGAUCGAAGACUUAAUCAA